GAUGAACGCUGGCGGCGUGCCUAACACAUGCAAGUCGAACGGAGAUUACGGACGGAAGUUUUCGGAUGGAAGACUGUAAUUCUUAGUGGCGGACGGGUGAGUAACGCGUGGGCAACCUGCCCUAUACAGGGGGAUAGCAGCUGGAAACGGCUGGUAAGACCGCAUAAGUCGGUUAAAUCGCAUGAUUUGAUCGGGAAAUGAGCAAUCAGGUAUAGGAUGGGCCCGCGUCCGAUUAGCCAGUUGGCAGGGUAAAAGCCUACCAAAGCGACGAUCGGUAGCCGGACUGAGAGGUCGGACGGCCACAUUGGGACUGAGACACGGCCCAAACUCCAACGGGAGGCAGCAGUGGGGGAUAUUGCACAAUGGAGGAAACUCUGAUGCAGCGACGCCGCGUGAGUGAAGAAGUAUUUCGGUAUGUAAAGCUCUAUCAGCAGGGAAGAUGAUGACGGUACCUGACUAAGAAGCCCCGGCUAACUACGUG
rnacentral:rRNA from 1 species